UAAGGAAUCUUCCACAAUGGACGAAAGUCUGAUGGAGCAACACCGCGUGCAGGAUGACGGUCUUCGGAUUGUAAACUGCUUUUAUAUGGGAAGAUUAUGACGGUACCAUAUGAAUAAGGACCGGCUAACUACGUGCCAGCAGCCGCGGUAAUACGUAGGGUCCAAGCGUUAUCCGGAAUCACUGGGCGUAAAGCGUGCGUAGGCGGGAGUCUAAGUGAGAAAUUAAAUCGUGUGGCUCAACCAUAUCGAUGUUUCUCAUACUGGGCACCUAGAGGAAGGCAGAGGCAAGUGGAAUUAGUAGUGUAGCAGUGAAAUGCGUAGAGAUUACUAGGAACACCAAUGGCGAAGGCAGCUUGCUGGGCCUUUUCUGACGCUGAGGUACGAAAGCGUGGGGAGCGAACAG
rnacentral:rRNA from 1 species